GAUGAACGCUAGCGGCAGGCCUAAUACAUGCAAGUCGAGGGGCAGCACGGUAGCAAUACUGGUGGCGACCGGCGCACGGGUGCGUAACGCGUAUGCAACCUACCUUCAACAGGGGGAUAGCCCAGAGAAAUUUGGAUUAAUACCCCAUGGUAUAUUUGAGUGGCAUCACUUGAUUAUUAAAGUUCCAACGGUUGAAGAUG
rnacentral:rRNA from 1 species